CCGCGGAACACUCUGCUUUUCGAGUAGAGCUCUCUUCCUGGAGGAGCUCAGCCGUCUAACCCUUGGAACACGUGGCUUCCUGGUGACACAGAAAGAAGGGGUCGGAGAGUGAGAGGGAUUUCUCCUCUCAGAAGGAACGCGGGUCCCAGGGCCCUGGUUAGGACUGUUCACAGGGCCACACCUGACCGCAAGGAGGAAGGAAGGUGGUCUUCCCUGUACCCAGGAAGAAGAAGGCCCCAGAGGGUUAGCACCGCUGUCCACUGCCACGGCACCGGUGGUUGUACCCCGGAGCUGGCAUGCACCUACACAGUGCACCAGCUACCUGCUGCUGCAGAACAAAGCAACCCCAGAUGCGGUUUCUUAGAACAAUCCUUUCUUAACACACAGCCCUGCAGGCCGCAGGUAGGCAGGACUCAGCAGGGUGGCUCUCUGCAGGUGUCAGCUGACCGUUGGCCCCGGGCAUGGGCUGGCUCCUCUCGUGCUCCUGCAGGCUACCCAGGCUUGUUCCCAUACUGAGGGAGGAGAACAGAAACCAGCAAGGGCCCAGGGUCAAGGCUUGAAAGCAGCGUGCUGUCCCUCCUGCUGCUGUCUCUUGGCCAAAGCAAGUCACAAGAGCUCCCGUAUUCAGAGGGCCCACCUACUGAUGGCAGGAAAUGCAGUCACCUAGCCAAGUGCCUGGUGACCGGGACGCCAUGACAUGGAGGCUGUCAAUGCCAUCCACCCCAGCAUAGGACCCUGACUGCCUUCUGUGACCAGGAUACCAUAGGCUGCCCAGGGCAGCAGAAGCCCAGCCCUGAUGGGCUGUGACAACGCUACAAAAAUCAAGACCAGAGAGUCAGGUCAUGAUGGAGGUGGAAGGGCAGGUGAGCGUCUCCAAUCCUCAAGGGCCCCGUGUCCCCAUUACUGGUUGAUAAGUUUAAGUCAUCUCUCUUUUCCUGAGCCAUUUGACCCAAUAAGACCUGUUCUACUCGGUCCAAACAAUUGGGGUGGUCCCUCCUAGAGAAGGUCACUAGGGCAAGGCAGGUGUCACCUGAAAUGCCAAGGUGCCCAUCUCCAGCACUGAUCUCAAAAGCCAGGCUUGACCCUAGAAAC
rnacentral:lncRNA from 1 species